rnacentral:tRNA from 1 species
UCCUUCGUGGUGUAGUGGUCAGCACGCUGGGCGCAUAUUCCAGAGGUCGUGGUUCGAGUCCCGGCAAAGGAG